UUCCCUGCCAUGUCCACCUGGUGAAG
rnacentral:piRNA from 1 species